rnacentral:rRNA from 1 species
GACAGAGGUGCCAAGCGUUAGGCGGAAUCACUGGGCUUAAAGCGUGUGUAGGCGGGUGCCUAAGUACCUUGUGAAAUCCCCCGGCUCAACCGGGGAACGGCUGGGUAUACUGGGUGCCUUGGGUCAUCUAGGGGCUGCCGGAACAAAUGGUGGAGCGGUGAAAUGCGUAGAUAUCAUUUGGAACGCCAACGGCGAAAGCAGGCAGCUGGGGAUGCACCGACGCUGAGACACGAAAGCCAGGGGAGCGAACAGG